rnacentral:snRNA from 1 species
AGCCAUCCACCACAAGGACACCUUGAUUACCAAGGAGGUUUUCCCAGGGUGAGGCUCAACCAUUGCACUCCAGCUGUGCUGAUCUCUGUGAUUUCCCCAAAUGUGGGAAACUUGCCUGCGUAAUUUUUGGCAAGCAGGCCCAGCAGCGUUUUGCCUGG